rnacentral:hammerhead_ribozyme from 1 species
ACCCAGAUGACGAGUCCCGAACAGGACGAAACGCGCGUCCUGGAU